rnacentral:lncRNA from 1 species
CUGGUCGCGGGAUGCCCUAGAUGUCCUUAUUAGGGCAUAAGCCUCCAGAGGGCGUGCCCAGUCCAAGCGCCAGCUGCAGGCUCCUUAUAAGGCUGCUUGAGGAAAGAGGCGGGUGCACAAAAGCUAGACUGAGAAGAGGGUCUGCGAAUUGGGCUCCCGACGACUUCCGGAGUGACAGCGUGACAGCUGAAGACCGUGCGUUGUUCCAAACACUGAAGGGACCUCUAUGUUCUAUUGAGCCCUGUGUCCCUCAGCUUGAGACAUCCCUGCCCCAGCAAGGUUCCCACCUUCAUCCUCCCUGAGGCUCCUUCACUUUUAAUGAGCCACAGAAGCGAAGUGUCUAACUAGCAUCCCCGGGAUCCAACCAUGUGCCCACAUUCGAACUCUCCACCUUCUAGGAUACACCUCUUAUUCCUCCUUGAAAGGGAGGAAUUAAAUACACAUCUUCGCCAUUC